AUUGAACGCUGGCGGCAGGCUUAACACAUGCAAGUCGAACGAGUGGCGGACGGGUGAGUAAUGCUUGGGAAACUGGCAUAUGGAGGGGGAUAACUACUGGAAACUGUAGCUACUACCGCAUACCCUCGGAUGAGCCCAAGUGGGAUGAGCUAGUUGGUGGGGUAACGGCCCACCAAGCCGACGAUCCCUAGCUGGUCUGAGAGGAUGACCAGCCACACCGGAACUGAGACACGGUCCCGACUCCUACGGGAGGCAGCAGUGGGGAAUAUUGCACAAUGGGCGCAAGCCUGAUGCAGCCAUGCCGCGUGAAUGAAGAAGGCCUUCGGGUUGUAAAGUACUUUCGGCGAGGAGGCGUUACUCGCAGAAGAAGCACCGGCUAACUCCGUGCCAGCAGCCGCGGUAAUUC
rnacentral:rRNA from 1 species